rnacentral:rRNA from 1 species
UACGUAGGGUGCAAGCGUUGUCCGGAAUCAUUGGGCGUAAAGAGCUUGUAGGCGGUCCGUUAAGUCGGCUGUGAAAGCCCAGGGCUCAACCCUGGAAGGCCGGUGGAAACUGUCGGGCUAGAGUCCGGAAGAGGCGAGUGGAAUUCCCGGUGUAGCGGUGAAAUGCGCAGAUAUCGGGAGGAACACCGAUGGCGAAGGCAGCUCGCUGGGCCGGUACUGACGCUGAGACGCGAAAGCGUGGGGAGCAAACAGG